rnacentral:rRNA from 1 species
AGGGCGCAAGGGGAAUGCCUUGGCACUGAGAGCCGACGAAGGACGCGACAAGCUGCGAUAAGCUACGGGGAGCCGCAAAUGGGCUUUGAUCCGUGGAUUUCCGAAUGGGGAAACCCGAUGGAGCAAUACUCCAUCAACCAUGACUGAAUACAUAGGUCAUGGUGGGGAACCGCCUGAACUGAAACAUCUAAGUAGGGCGAGGAAGAGAAAUCAACCGAGAUUCCGCUAGUAGUGGCGAGCGAACGCGGAAGAGGCCAAACCGGAGGUAGCAAUAUUUCCGGGGUUAGGACUGCAAUAUGUAACUUUAAUCUUUAACUGAAUGCUUUGGGAAGAGCAGCGAUACAGGGUGAUAGCCCCGUAAGUGAAAAGGAUUGAGUGCUAGCAGUAUCCAGAGUACCAGCGGACACGUGAAACCCGCUGGGAAGAUGGGGGGACCAUCCUCCAAGCCUAAAUACUACUCAGUGACCGAUAGUGGAGCAGUACCGUGAGGGAAAGGUGAAAAGUACCCCGGGAGGGGAGUGAAAAAGAACCUGAAACCUUGUGCCUACAAGCACCGAGAGCACGUUAAAGUGUGAUCGGGUACUUUUUGUAGAACGGUCCGGCGAGUUAAUAUUUGCAGCGAGGUUAAGGAACUGGAGUUCCGGAGCCGCAGCGAGAGCGAGUCUGAAAAGGGCGUAUGAAGUUGCAGGUAUUAGACCCGAAACCGGGUGACCUAUCCAUGAGCAGGCUGAAGCGGUGGUAAGACACCGUGGAGGGCCGCACCCACGUCUGUUGAAAAAGCCGGGGAUGACUUGUGGAUAGCGGAGAAAUUCCAAUCGAACUCGGAGAUAGCUGGUUCUCCCCGAAAUAGCUUUAGGGCUAGCGUUAUUUUAGAUUACCGGAGGUAAAGCACUGAAUGGUCUAGGGGCCGCGAGGUUACCAAAGCCUAUCAAACUCUGAAUGCCGGAUAAUUGAUGAAUAGCAGUCAGACUGUGUGAGAUAAGUCUCAUAGUCAAAAGGGAAACAGCCCAGAUCUACAGCUAAGGUCCCAAAUGAACACUAAGUGGAAAAUGAUGUGAAACUGCGAAGACAACCAGGAUGUUGGCUUAGAAGCAGCCACUCAUUCAAAGAGUGCGUAAUAGCUCACUGGUCGAGUGGUUUUGCGCAGAAAAUGUAACGGGGCUAAGUGUUCAACCGAAGCUUAGGCAUUGCAGUAAUGCAUUGGGUAGGGGAGCGUCGUAUGCGGGGCGAAGUCAGAGCGGAAGCACUGGUGGACUGCAUACGAGUGAGAAUGCCGGAAUAAGUAGCGAGAAUUAUGUGAGAAUCAUAAUGGCCGAAAAUCUAAGGUUUCUUGGGGAAGGUUCGUCCGCCCAAGGUUAGUCGGGAGCUAAGCUCAGGCCGAAAGGCGUAGGCGAUGCACAUACGGUAGAAAUUCCGUAACCACCGAACAUUUAAGCUAGAGGGACGCUUUCUUUAAGGUUAUCCCGGGCGAUGGUUGCCCCGGGCGUAAGGGACCGAAAUAUAGUAGGGAAGUAGAUGGCGAGAGAGACGAGAAAAGCUCUAGUGUAUACUAAGGUGCCCGUACCGCAAACCGACACAGGUAGAUGGGAUGAGUAUUCUAAGGCCAACGGGAGAAGGGUUGUUAAGGAACUCGGCAAAUUGGCCCCGUAACUUCGGGAUAAGGGGCGCCUGCGAGAGCAGGCCGCAGUGAAAAGGCCCAAGCGACUGUUUAGCAAAAACACAGCUCUCUGCUAAAUCGAAAGAUGACGUAUAGGGGGUGACGCCUGCCCGGUGCUGGAAGGUUAAGGGGAGUGCUUAGCGCAAGCGAAGGUGCGAACUUAAGCCCCAGUAAACGGCGGCCGUAACUAUAACGGUCCUAAGGUAGCGAAAUUCCUUGUCAGGUAAGUUCUGACCCGCACGAAUGGCGUAACGAUUUGGGCACUGUCUCAACAGCCCGCCCGGCGAAAUUGUAGUACCGGUGAAGAUGCCGGUUUCCCGCAACUAGACGGAAAGACCCCAUGGAGCUUCACUGUAGCUUGAUAUUGGAUCUCGGUAUUCCAUGUACAGGAUAGGUGGGAGACUUGGAAGUAAGCGCGCCAGCGUUUAUGGAGUCAACCUUGGGAUACCACUCUUGGGAUAUUGGGAUUCUAACCUGCGACCAUGAAUCUGGUCGGGGGACACUGUCAGGUGGGCAGUUUGACUGGGGCGGUCGCCUCCAAAAGAGUAACGGAGGCGCUCAAAGGU